UGUUCACACGUAGGUCAUCAUGAAAAAUAUUCACAUGUAGGUCAUCAUGAAUAAUGUCCACAUGUAGGUCAUCAUGAACAAUGUCCACAUAUAGGUCAUCACAAAUAAAAUCCACAUGUAGGUCAUCAUGAAUAAUGUCCACACAUAGGUCAUCAUGAAUAAUGUCCACAUAUAAGUCAUCACAAAUGAUGUCCACAUAAAGGUCAUCAUGAAUAAUGCCCCCAUAAAGGUCAUCAUGAAUAAUGUCCACACAGGUCAAUGAAACCUCCAUGCAUUAUGCCCAU